rnacentral:rRNA from 1 species
AACUGGGUCUAAUACUGGAUAUGACCUUCUGCUUCAUGGUGGUUGGUGGAAAGCUUUUGCGGUUUGGGAUGGGCCCGCGGCCUAUCAGCUUGUUGGUGGGGUAAUGGCCUACCAAGGCGACGACGGGUAGCCGACCUGAGAGGGUGAUCGGCCACACUGGGACUGAGACACGGCCCAGACUCCUACGGGAGGCAGCAGUGGGGAAUAUUGCACAAUGGGCGCAAGCCUGAUGCAGCGACGCCGCGUGAGGGAUGACGGCCUUCGGGUUGUAAACCUCUUUCGGCAGGGACGAAGCGCAAGUGACGGUACCUGCAGAAGAAGCACCGGCCAACUACGUGCCAGCAGCCGCGGUAAUACGUAGGGUGCGAGCGUUGUCCGGAAUUACUGGGCGUAAAGAGCUCGUAGGCGGUUUGUCGCGUCGUCUGUGAAAUUCUGCAACUCAAUUGCAGGCGUGCAGGCGAUACGGGCAGACUUGAGUACUACAGGGGAGACUGGAAUUCC